GACGAACGCUGGCGGCGUGCUUAACACAUGCAAGUCGAACGGAAAGGCCCUGCUUUUGUGGGGUGCUCGAGUGGCGAACGGGUGAGUAACACGUGAGUAACCUGCCCUUGACUUUGGGAUAACUUCAGGAAACUGGGGCUAAUACCGGAUAGGAGCUCCUGCUGCAUGGUGGGGGUUGGAACGUUUCGGCGGUUGGGGAUGGACUCGCGGCUUAUCAGCUUGUUGGUGGGGUAGUGGCUUACCAAGGCUUUGACGGGUAGCCGGCCUGAGCGGGUGGCCGGCCACAUUGGGACUGAGGUACGGCCCAGACUCCUACGGGAGGCAGCGGUGGGGAAUAUUGCACAAUGGGCGGAAGCCUGAUGCAGCAACGCCGCGUGCGGGAUGACGGCCUUCGGGUUGUAAACCGCUUUCGCCUGUGACGAAGCGUGAGUGACGGUAAUGGGUAAAGAAGCACCGGCUAACUACGUG
rnacentral:rRNA from 1 species